GCGGCGGACGGGUGAGUAACACGUGGGUAACCUGCCCAUAAGACUGGGAUAACUCCGGGAAACCGGGGCUAAUACCGGAUAACAUUUUGAACCGCAUGGUUCGAAAUUGAAAGGCGGCUUCGGCUGUCACUUAUGGAUGGACCCGCGUCGCAUUAGCUAGUUGGUGAGGUAACGGCUCACCAAGGCAACGAUGCGUAGCCGACCUGAGAGGGUGAUCGGCCACACUGGGACUGAGACACGGCCCAGACUCCUACGGGAGGCAGCAGUAGGGAAUCUUCCGCAAUGGACGAAAGUCUGACGGAGCAACGCCGCGUGAGUGAUGAAGGCUUUCGGGUCGUAAAACUCUGUUGUUAGGGAAGAACAAGUGCUAGUUGAAUAAGCUGGCACCUUGACGGUACCUAACCAGAAAGCCACGGCUAACUACGUGCCAGCAGCCGCGGUAAUAC
rnacentral:rRNA from 1 species